AUGCAUCAUCAGUGUGGAAGCGAGCGCGAGACGCAACGCGGCGGCACACGUACCAACACAGCGACGGCGCCGCUGCCAGCUUCUUCUCGGCCUCUCCUUUCCAGGUCCGUCUACGGCGUCUCAUCAUCUACUCAUCUCCCUCCAUUCUUUUCAAAGGAAACAAAAGCUUUGUAUAGCUACUGUUUAAAGAAGAGAAAUGAGUAUAAAGAAGAGACCUUGGUCAUGGAACUUUCUACGUCUCGGCAUCCUCCGCGUUCGCGCAAUGCUUACUACUUUGGUUACCCUUUCUUAUCUUACGGAAACAACACUGCUGCUCACCCGAUAUCUGGGCCAGAUCUUCUAAGAACCACCAAAAAUAUGGUCUGGCGUAUCAUGACGGAACCAAAGGGGGAAGCUUCCACAAUAAUAGAAAAAGAAAAGAAGAGGAAGAUGAUUUCACUGCUUUAUUAUUAG
rnacentral:rRNA from 1 species